GCUGGCGGCGUGCCUAAUACAUGCAAGUCGAACGGUCCUUCUAUGGAAGCUUGCUUCCACUGAGAAGAUAGUGGCGAACGGGUGAGUAACACGUGGGUAACCUGCCCAUAAGAGGGGGAUAACAUCCGGAAACGGGUGCUAAUACCGCAUAGUUUUCUUGAUUGCAUGAUUGAGAAAGGAAAGACGGCCUUUGUGCUGUCGCUUAUGGAUGGACCCGCGGCGUAUUAGUUAGUUGGUGAGGUAACGGCUCACCAAGACGAUGAUACGUAGCCGACCUGAGAGGGUGAUCGGCCACAUUGGGACUGAGACACGGCCCAAACUCCUACGGGAGGCAGCAGUAGGGAAUCUUCCGCAAUGGACGAAAGUCUGACGGAGCAACGCCGCGUGAGUGAAGAAGGUUUUCGGGAAUCGUAAAAACUCUGUUGUCAGAGAAGAACAAGUUGGAGAGUAACUGCUCCAGCCUUGACGGUAUCUGACCAGAAAGCCACGGCUAACUACGUGCCAGCAGCAGC
rnacentral:rRNA from 1 species